UUCCGGUUGAUCCUGCCGGACCUGACUGCUAUCGGAUUGGUACUAAGCCAUGUGAGUCGUUGUAGCAAUACAAGGCAUACGGCUCAGUAACACGUAGUCAAUCUAACCUAUGGACGGGGAUAACCUCGGGAAACUGAGGAUAAACCCCGAUAGAUCAUUAUGCCUGGAACGGUUUAUGGUCCAAAUGAUUCGUCGCCGUAGGGUGGGACUGCGGCCUAUCAGCUUGUUGGUGAGGUAAUGGCCCACCAAGGCUAUUACAGGUACGGGCUCUGAGAGGAGAAGCCCGGAGAUGGGUACUGAGACACGGACCCAGGCCCUAUGGGGCGCAGCAGGCGAGAAACCUUUGCAAUGUGCGCAAGCACGACAAGGUUAAUCCGAGUGUUUCCUGCUAAAGGAAUCUUUUGUUAGUUGUAAAACCACUGAUGAAUAAGGGGUGGGCAAGUUCUGGUGUCAGCCGCCGCGGUAAAACCAGCACCUCAAGUGGUCAGGAUGAUUAUUGGGCCUAAAGCAUCCGUAGCCUGUUUUGUAAGUUUCCGGUUAAAUCCAUUAGCUCAACUAAUGGGCUGCCGAAAAUACUGCAAAACUAGGGAGUGGGAGAGGUAGACGGUACUCGGUAGGAAGGGGUAAAAUCCUUUGAUCUAUUGAUGACCACCUGUGGCGAAGGCGGUCUACCAGAACACGUUCGACGGUGAGGGAUGAAAGCUGGGGGAGCAAACCGGAUUAGAUACCCGGGUAGUCCCAGCUGUAAACGAUGCAGACUCGGUGAUGCCCUGGCUUGUGGCCAGUGCAGUGCCGCAGGG
rnacentral:rRNA from 1 species